rnacentral:rRNA from 1 species
UACAGAGGGUGCAAGCGUUAAUCGGAUUUACUGGGCGUAAAGCGUGCGUAGACGGUUAUUUAAGUCGGAUGUGAAAGCCCCGGGCUCAACCUGGGAAUUGCAUUCGAGACUGAAUAGCUAGGGUGCGGUAGAGGGAAGCGGAAUUUCCGGUGUAGCGGUGAAAUGCGUAGAUAUCGGAAGGAACAUCAGUGGCGAAAGCGGCUUCCUGGACCAGCACCGACGUUCAGGCACGAAAGCGUGGGGAGCAAACAGG